GGCAUGCAAAUGGGCUUAUCUAAGAUAGUCUUCUUCCUGGUAGCAGGGUACACUACUGCCGUGCUUCUGCACGGUAAAUUGUCAGAUGUGCUGGGCCAAUUUCAGGUCCGAUGGUUUGCUAUGGAGGUUCAAUCAAGGGCCUCCCCACGACUAAUCACGGUUCUCAAUGG